GAACUAGAUAUACCCUCAUGAGAGAAUGACUUAUCAUUUUUUAUCUUAAUCUAGCACAGAACCUGUGGCCCUGGACACUGUGGGAGUGGCUUUAACCUGAGAGGCUCUCCCCUCAGGGAGGAGGAGUUAUUCAACUGCAACAACAGCUUAUAAACCCAUGUGAACUUGCAUUGAGUUGCUGAGCCAAGUGGGAGACAGCCUUUCCUAAGGUUGAGAGAGACCAGCAGACAGUCAUCAUGGCGGGGAAGCCCAUUCUUCACUAUUUCAAUGGCCGAGGCAGAAUGGAGUGUAUCCGGUGGCUCCUGGCUGCAGCUGGAGUGGAGUUCGAAGAGAAAUUUAUAGAAAAUCCAAACGACUUGAAUAAGUUAAAAAAUGAUGGGAGUUUGCUGUUCCAGCAAGUGCCCAUGGUUGAGAUUGACGGGAUGAAGCUGGUGCAGACCAGGGCCAUCCUCAACUACAUCGCCACCAAGUACAACCUCUACGGGAAGGACGCCAAGGAGAGAGCCCUGAUUGAUAUGUAUACAGAAGGUGUGGCAGAUUUGGGUGAAAUGAUCUUGCUGUUGCCACUGUGCCCACCCAAUGAAAAAGAUGCCAAGGUGGCCUCGAUCAAAGAAAAAUCGACAAACCGUUAUCUUCCUGCAUUUGAAAAAGUGUUGAAGAGCCAUGGACAAGACUACCUUGUGGGCAACAAGCUGAGCAGGGCUGACAUCCAGCUGGUUGAACUUCUCUACUACGUGGAAGAGCUGGACCCCAGCCUGCUGGCCAACUUCCCUCUGCUGAAGGCCCUGAAAACCAGAGUCAGCAACCUCCCCACCGUGAAGAAGUUUCUGCAGCCUGGCAGCCAGAGGAAGCCUCCCAUGGAUGCGAAAAAAUUAGAAGAAGCCAGGAAGGUUUUCAUGUCUUCAUAAAGUGGGCAGGGCCACCCAGGACCCUCUUCUGAUUUUCCAGCAAUGAAGUGUUUACCUAAAUGUAGAUCCUGGAUGAUGUGAGACUAAUAAACUAGUCUGAAUUUUUGUGGUUGUUAAAUAAUGAAGUUCCUAUGAGUCUACUAUCUUAAAAUUUAUUCUUUUUCAUGAUGAUCCAAAGAAAAUACGUUUGUCAAUCUCUUAGCCUGUGUCAGUUUUGGAAUGACGUUUAAUGAUAAUUAAAUCAAGUAAAAAUUAAAUAAAAGCGGGAAACAGA